CUGGCAGUUCCCUGAAUGAGAGCUCAGUGCACAUCCACAGAGGCAAUUCCAGCAUCUGAAAGAAAGAGCAAGAAGAAAAAGGCACUUCUGCAAUCCAACCCUGAAGCUGAGCAGCCCAAAAGCUCUGGAGUCUGCUCUGGAACAAAAGGAUCCUCCCAGGGGCCCCACUUGUGAGUUCCUGAAUCCUUUGCCAUUGGACUUUGGACAAAGGAAGAGAAGGAUCUGUUCCCCACAGGUGUCAUCCAGCAGGGAACAGCCCCUG